CGCUUCGGCGUGUGACUGCGUACCUUUUGUAUAAUGGGUCAGCGACUUAUAUUCUGUAGCAAGGUUAACCGAAUAGGGGAGCCGAAGGGAAACCGAGUCUUAACUGGGCGUUAAGUUGCAGGGUAUAGACCCGAAACCCGGUGAUCUAGCCAUGGGCAGGUUGAAGGUUGGGUAACACUAACUGGAGGACCGAACCGACUAAUGUUGAAAAAUUAGCGGAUGACUUGUGGCUGGGGGUGAAAGGCCAAUCAAACCGGGAGAUAGCUGGUUCUCCCCGAAAGCUAUUUAGGUAGCGCCUCGUGAAUUCAUCUCCGGGGGUAGAGCACUGUUUCGGCAAGGGGGUCAUCCCGACUUACCAACCCGAUGCAAACUGCGAAUACCGGAGAAUGUUAUCACGGGAGACACACGGCGGGUGCUAACGUCCGUCGUGAAGAGGGAAACAACCCAGACCGCCAGCUAAGGUCCCAAAGUCAUGGUUAAGUGGGAAACGAUGUGGGAAGGCCCAGACAGCCAGGAUGUUGGCUUAGAAGCAGCCAUCAUUUAAAGAAAGCGUAAUAGCUCACUGGUCGAGUCGGCCUGCGCGGAAGAUGUAACGGGGCUAAACCAUGCACCGAAGCUGCGGCAGCGACACUAUGUGUUGUUGGGUAGGGGAGCG
rnacentral:rRNA from 1 species